UUGAUUGGUUGAAGAACUUUAUUCAGUUUGGAAUUUUUGCAUCAGAUUUUAAUUUUUGUUUUUGGAUGUAAUUACCAAUAUCUGCCGUCCACUUUAUCUACCAUAUGUUUGUGUAUUGUUCUGUCAAAAAUAUGAAAACAGUGCCACAAAUCAAUUCGGCAUCCCAAUUAAAUUAUCACCUGUUGUGGUUAAUGCAACGUAGCUGUAGCACUAUAUAAUUUUCAGAAUUAGAAAACGCCAUUACUUAUAGAUUUCACAGCGUGAAUUAAGGUUGUAUACCUUUCAUACCUAAUUUUGAAGCAAAAUUCUUACUAAGAAAAAAUGAAGAUUUGGAUAAUUCUCCUGAGUAUCAUCGGCCUAGCUUUGUGUGAAAUUGAUCCUGAAGCACUGAAAGAAUCUCAAUGUGAAGAAUCAAGCAUUGCAGAGGCU